rnacentral:rRNA from 1 species
AUUGAACGCUGGCGGCAGGCCUAACACAUGCAAGUCGAACGGUAACAGGAAACAGCUUGCUGUUUCGCUGACGAGUGGCGGACGGGUGAGUAAUGUCUGGGAAACUGCCUGAUGGAGGGGGAUAACUACUGGAAACGGUAGCUAAUACCGCAUAACGUCGCAAGACCAAAGAGGGGGACCUUCGGGCCUCUUGCCAUCGGAUGUGCCCAGAUGGGAUUAGCUUGUUGGUGGGGUAACGGCUCACCAAGGCGACGAUCCCUAGCUGGUCUGAGAGGAUGAACAGCCACACUGGAACUGAGACACGGUCCAGACUCCUACGGGAGGCAGCAGUGGGGAAUAUUGCACAAUGGGCGCAAGCCUGAUGCGGCCAUGCCGCGUGUAUGAAGAAGGCCUUCGGGUUGUAAAGUACUUUCAGCGGGGAGGAAGGGAGUAAAGUUAAUACCUUUACUCAUUGACGUUACCCGCAGAAGAAGCACCGGCUAACUCCGUGCCAGCCGCCGCGGUAA